rnacentral:rRNA from 2 species
AUUGGGCGUAAGCGAGCGCAGGCGGUUAUUUAAGUCUGAUGUGAAAGCCUUCGGCUUAACCGAAGAAGUGCAUCGGAAACUGGGUAACUUGAGUGCAGAAGAGGACAGUGGAACUCCAUGUGUAGCGGUGGAAUGCGUAGAUAUAUGGAAGAACACCAGUGGCGAAGGCGGCUGUCUAGUCUGUAACUGACGCUGAGGCUCGAAAGCAUGGGUAGCGAACAGGAUUAGAUACCCUGGUAGUCCAUGCCGUAAACGAUGAGUGCUAAGUGUUGGAGGGUUUCCGCCCUUCAGUGCUGCAGCUAACGCAUUAAGCACUCCGCCUGGGGAGUACGACCGCAAGGUUGAAACUCAAAGGAAUUGACGGGGGCCCGCACAAGCGGUGGAGCAUGUGGUUUAAUUCGAAGCUACGCGAAGAACCUUACCAGGUCUUGACAUCUUCUGCCAAUCUUAGAGAUAAGACGUUCCCUUCGGGGACAGAAUGACAGGUGGUGCAUGGUUGUCGUCAGCUCGUGUCGUGAGAUGUUGGGUUAAGUCCCGCAACGAGCGCAACCCUUAUUAUCAGUUGCCAGCAUUCAGUUGGGCACUCUGGUGAGACUGCCGGUGACAAACCGGAGGAAGGUGGGGAUGACGUCAAAUCAUCAUGCCCCUUAUGACCUGGGCUACACACGUGCUACAAUGGACGGUACAACGAGUUGCGAAGUCGUGAGGCCAAGCUAAUCUCUUAAAGCCGUUCUCAGUUCGGAUUGUAGGCUGCAACUCGCCUACAUGAAGUUGGAAUCGCUAGUAAUCGCGGAUCAGCAUGCCGCGGUGAAUACGUUCCCGGGCCUUGUACACACCGCCCGUCACACCAUGAGAGUUUGUAACACCCAAAGCCGGUGGGGUAACCUUCGGGAGCCAGCCGUCUAAG